rnacentral:rRNA from 1 species
GGAAGGAGCGAUAAUGACGGUACCUGCAGAAUAAGCNCCGGCUAACUACGUGCCAGCAGCCGCGGUAAUACGUAGGGGGCAAGCGUUNUUCGGAAUUAUUGGGCGUAAAGAGCGCGUAGGCGGUUUGUUNAGUCAGCUGUGAAAGCCCCGGGCUCAACNCCGGAUCUGCGUUUGAUACUGGCNGGCUAGAGUGCGGCAGAGGAGAGUGGAAUUCCGGGUGUAGCGGUGAAAUGCGUAGAUAUCAGGAGGAACACCGGUGGCGAAGGCGGCUCUCUGGGCCUNUACUGACGCUGAGGAGCGAAAGCGU